AUUGAACGCUGGUGUGCGGCUCAACAUCAUGCUAGUCGAGCGGUAGCACAGGGGAGCUUGCUCCCUGGGUGACGAGCGGCGGACGGGUGAGUAAUGUCUGGGAAACUGCCUGAUGGAGGGGGAUAACUACUGGAAACGUGUAGCUAAUACCGCAUAACGUCGCGUGACCAAAGAGGGGGACCUUCUGGCCUCUUGCCAUCAUAUGUGCCCUCAUGGGAUUAGCUAGUAGGUGGGGUAAUGGCUCACCUAGGCGACUAUCCCUAGCUGGUCUGAGAGGAUGACCUCCCACUCUGGAACUGACACACGGCCCACACUCCUACCGGAGGCAGCAGAGGAGAAUAUUGCACUAUGGGCGCACGCCUGAUGCAGCCAUGCCGCGUGUGUGAAUAAGGCCUUCGGGUUGACAAGCACUUGCUCCUCGGAUGAAGGUGGAGAACUUCAUACGCUCAUCUGUUGGCGUUACUCCCCGAAGAAUCACCGGCUAAUUCCGUGUUCAGCAGCCGCGUCACUACGGAGGGUGCUUAGUGUUUAUCGGAAUUACUGCCCGAUAAGCCCCCGCACGCCUGACGCUCAUCCUUAUGUGAAAUCCCCGGGCUCAACCUGGGAACUGCAUUUGAAACUGGCAAGCUAGAGUCUCGUAGAGGGGGGUAGAAUUCCAGUGUGUAGCGGUGAAGUGCGUAGAGAUCUGGAGGAAUACCGGUGGUGAAGGCGGCCCCCUGGACGAAGAGUGACGCUCAGGUGCGAAAGCUGUGGGGAGCAAACAGGAUUAGAUACCCGUGGUAGUCCACGCUGUAAACAAUGUCGAUUUGGAGGUUGUGCCCUUGAGGCGUGGCUUCCGGAGCUAACGCGUUAAAUCGACCGCCUGGGGAGUACGGCCGCAAGGUUAAAACUCAAAUGAAUUGACGGGGGCCCGCACAAGCGGUGGAGCAUGUGGUUUAAUUCGAUGCAACGCGAAGAACCUUACGUCCUCUUGACAUCCAGAGAACUUAGCAGAGAUGCUUUGGUGCCUUCGGGAACUUUGAGACAGGUGCCGCAUGGCUGUAGUCAGCUCGUGUUGUGAAAUGUUGGGUUAAUUCCCGCAACGAGCGCAACCCUUAUCCUUUGUUGCCAGCGGUUCGGCCGGGAACUCAAAGGAGACUGCCAGUGAUAAACUGGAGGAAGGUGGGGACGACGUCAAGUCAUCAUGGCCCUUACGAGUAGGGCUACACAGCGUGCUUCAAUGGCAUAUACAAAGAGAAGCGACCUCGCGAGAGCAAGCGGGCCUCAUAAAGUAUGUCGUAGUCCGGAUUGGAGUCUGCAACUCGACUCCAUGAAGUCGGAAUCGCUAGUAAUCGUAGAUCAGAAUGAUACGGUGAAUACGUUCCCGGGCCU
rnacentral:rRNA from 1 species